AGCGAACGCUGGCGGCAGGCCUAACACAUGCAAGUCGAACGGUCCUUCGGGAUAGUGGCGGACGGGUGAGUAACACGUGGGAACGUGCCCUUUGGUUCGGAACAACUCAGGGAAACUUGAGCUAAUACCGAAUGUGCCCUUCGGGGGAAAGAUUUAUCGCCAUUGGAGCGGCCCGCGUCUGAUUAGCUAGUUGGUGAGGUAAUGGCUCACCAAGGCGACGAUCAGUAGCUGGUCUGAGAGGAUGAUCAGCCACACUGGGACUGAGACACGGCCCAGACUCCUACGGGAGGCAGCAGUGGGGAAUCUUGCGCAAUGGGCGAAAGCCUGACGCAGCCAUGCCGCGUGAAUGAUGAAGGUCUUAGGAUUGUAAAAUUCUUUCACCGGGGACGAUAAUGACGGUACCCGGAGAAGAAGCCCCGGCUAACUUCGUGCCAGCAGCCGCCGUAACAC
rnacentral:rRNA from 1 species